rnacentral:rRNA from 1 species
AUGGCGGCGGAGCCCGCGGCGGACGGCCAGGAUCCCCCGCUGGCGGAUGCCGCCUCCGGCGACGACGACGCCGCGGCGGCGGCGGACGCGCUCCUGAGCGCGGCCUCGGAGCAGCUGACGCUGGUGUACCAGGGGGAGGUCUACGUCUUCGACCCCGUCCCGCCCCAAAAGGUUCAAGCUGCUCUGUUGGUGCUUGGAGGGUGUGAGGUGCCUCCUGGUUUAGUAAGCAUGGCUGGGCCUACUGCAUAUGCUGAAAAGAGUACAACUGUGGCUGCCAAAAGGGUUGCUUCCUUAAUGAGGUUUCGCGAGAAGAGGAAGGAAAGAUGUUUUGAUAAGAAAAUAAGAUACGGAGUGCGCAAGGAGGUUGCCCAAAAGAUGAAGCGGCGUAAAGGACAGUUUGCUGGAAGGGCAGAUUUUGGUGAUGCUGCAAGUUCUUCUGCAGCUUGUGUCUCUGCAGUCGAUGGCGAGGAUGAUCAUUUCCGAGAAUCCCAUUGUCAAAAUUGUGGUGUCAGCUCAAGGCUUACUCCAGCAAUGCGUCGGGGCCCGGCUGGCCCCAGGACCCUCUGUAAUGCUUGUGGCUUGAUGUGGGCAAAUAAGGGUACUCUGAGAAGUCCUUUGAAUGCUCCCAAAAUGACCGUGCAGCAUCCUGUCAAUCCGAGUAAAAUGGAGAGUGUGGAUGAUGACAAAGCAAUUGUGUGUGCUGAGCGUAAUCAUACCGCAGUCAAAAUGGAUUCUGAGAUGAGUCCGGAACAAGAACAGAAACCAGAACUGCGCCCGGCGACUGAAGGCGACACCAUGGCUGAUUCAUGA